CCCCUCCCACCGCCAGCCUCCAUCCUCCCUCCGCCCUCCCCUCAACACACUUCCUCCCCGCCCCUCCUAGAGAGGGCUAUUAAAAGCUGCUGACGUCAAAAGGGACGGCCAUCUUUGAUGAGGGCAGAGCUCACGUUGCAUUGAAGACGAAACCUCGGGGAGGUCAGGCGCUGUCUCUCCUUCCCUCCCUGCUUGGCGGCUCCUCCACACUUGCAACCUGCAAGGGGCCAGGCGAGCACCACCCUCCGAAGAAACCAAGCAGAGCUUCAAAAUUCCAAAUGCUGUCAGAACUGCUGAACUGAAAUAGUCAGUGGCUCCAUGUGGAGGAAUAAGUGGCAGUUGCAGGCAUAGAUCUUGUUGCUAUUUCAAUUCUCACGCGGAAGUGCCAAGGGACUAUCCUCAUCUGUUCUUCACCAAAACACUGGCAGGUAUACAGGAAAUGAAUGAGUGAAUGGGAAUACCAACCACCCCUUUGCAGAAAAAAGAAUUCUACUACUCCUUUCUCAUGAAACAAGUCUAAAACCAUGGGUCAGUUACCCUGCACCCUACUUUCUCCAUCUGAGAACAAGGAUACCACUUGAUGAC